rnacentral:rRNA from 1 species
UACGUAGGAGGCGAGCGUUGUCCGGAGUUACUGGGCUUAAAGGGUGCGUAGGCGGCGUAGAAAGUUGGGUGUGAAAUCCCUCAGCUUAACUGAGGAAGGGCGCCCAAAACUACUAUGCUCGAGGGAGAUAGAGGAGUGCGGAACUUAGGGUGGAGCGGUGAAAUGCGUUGAUAUCCUAGGGAACACCGGUGGCGAAAGCGGCACUCUGGAUCUCUUCUGACGCUGAGGCACGAAAGCUAGGGUAGCAAACGGG